rnacentral:rRNA from 1 species
AUUGAACGCUGGCGGCAUGCCUUACACAUGCAAGUCGAACGGCAGCACGGGGCAACCUGGUGGCGAGUGGCGAACGGGUGAGUAAUGCAUCGGAACGUACCUUUCAGUGGGGGAUAACGUAGCGAAAGUUACGCUAAUACCGCGUAUUCUGUGAGCAGGAAAGCAGGGGGUCGCAAGACCUUGCGCUGAUUGAGCGGCCGAUGUCAGAUUAGCUAGUUGGUGAGGUAAAGGCUCACCAAGGCGACGAUCUGUAGCGGGUCUGAGAGGCUGAGCCGCAACACAGGAACUGGGACGAGGUCCAGACGCCGACGGGAGGAAGCAGUGGGGAAUGUUGGACAAUGGGGGUAACCCUGAUCCAGCCAUGCCGCGUGAGUGAAGAAGGCCUUCGGGUUGUAAAGCUCUUUCGGCCGGGAAGCAAUCGCACGGGCUAAUACCCUGUGUGGAUGACGGUACCGGAAUAAGAAGCACCGGCUAACUACGUGCCAGCCGCCGCAGUAACAC